AGCGAACGCUGGCGGCAGGCCUAACACAUGCAAGUCGAACGAACCUUUCGGGGUUAGUGGCGGACGGGUGUGUAACACGUGGGAACGUGCCUUUAGGUUCGGACUAACUCAGGGAAACUUGUGCUAAUACCGAAUGUGCCCUUCGGGGGAAAGAUUAAUCGCCUUUAGAGCGGCCCGCGUCUGAUUAGCUAGUUGGUUGAGGUAAUGGCUCACCAAGGCGACGAUCAGUAGCUGGUCUGAGAGGAUGAUCAGCCACAUUGGGACUGAGACACGGCCCAAACUCCUACGGGAGGCAGCAGUGGGGAAUCUUGCGCAAUGGGCGAAAGCAUGACGCAGCCAUGCCGCGUGAAUGAUGAAGGUCUUAGGAUUGUAAAAUUCUUUCACCGGGGACGAUAAUGACGGUACCCGGAGAAGAAGCCCCGGCUAACUUCGUG
rnacentral:rRNA from 1 species